AAUAGAUACCCGGGUAGUCCACGCCGUAAACGGUGGGCACUAGGUGUGGGCAACAUUCCACGUUGUCCGUGCCGCAGCUAACGCAUUAAGUGCCCCGCCUGGGGAGUACGGCCGCAAGGCUAAAACUCAAAGGAAUUGACGGGGGCCCGCACAAGCGGCGGAGCAUGUGGCUUAAUUCGACGCAACGCGAAGAACCUUACCAAGGCUUGACAUACACCGGAAACGUCUGGAGACAGGCGCCCCCUUGUGGUCGGUGUACAGGUGGUGCAUGGCUGUCGUCAGCUCGUGUCGUGAGAUGCUGGGUUAAGUCCCGCAACGAGCGCAACCUUUGUCCCGUGUUGCCAGCAGGCCCUUGUGGUGCUGGGGACUCACGGGAGACCGCCGGGGUCAACUCGGAGGAAGGUGGGGACGACGUCAAGUCAUCAUGCCCCGUUAUGUCUUGGGCUGCACACGUGCUACAAUGGCCGGUACAAAGAGCUGCGAUACCGUGAGGUGGAGCGAAUCUCAAAAAGCCGGUCUCAGUUCGGAUUGGGGUCUGCAACUCCG
rnacentral:rRNA from 1 species